rnacentral:rRNA from 1 species
AGUGAACGCUGGCGGUAGGCCUAACACAUGCAAGUCGAACGGCAGCACAUUAAGAGCUUGCUCUUACGGGUGGCGAGUGGCGGACGGGUGAGGAAUACAUCGGAAUCUACUUUUUCGUGGGGGAUAACGUAGGGAAACUUACGCUAAUACCUCAUACGACCUACGGGUGAAAGCAGGGGAUCUUCGGACCUUGCGCGAUUGAAUGAGCCGAUGUCGGCUUAGCUAGUUGGCGGGGUAAAGGCCCACCAAGGCGACGAUCCGUAGCUGGUCUGAGAGGAUGAUCAGCCACACUGGAACUGAGACACGGUCCAGACUCCUACGGGAGGCAGCAGUGGGGAAUAUUGGACAAUGGGAGCAAGCCUGAUCCAGCCAUACCGCGUGGGUGAAGAAGGCCUUCGGGUUGUAAAGCCCUUUUGUUGGGAAAGAAAAGCAGCAGGUUAAUACCCCGCUGUUCUGACGGUACCCAAAGAAUAAGCACCGGCUAACUUCGUG